rnacentral:rRNA from 1 species
UACGGAGGGGGCUAGCGUUGUUCGGAAUUACUGGGCGUGAAGCGCGCGUAGGCGGACCUGCAAGUCGGGGGUGAAAGCCCGAGGCUCAACCUCGGAACUGCCUUCGAUACUGCGGGUCUCGAGUCCGGGAGAGGUGAGUGGAAUUCCUAGUGUAGAGGUGAAAUUCGUAGAUAUCAGGAGGAACACCGGCGGCGAAAGCGGUGCACUGGGGCUUAACUGACACUGAGGCACGAAAGCCAGGGGAGCGAACGGG